ACUGGUCAGUUUGAUUCUCGAUGCUUGGCGUGAAAUAAAGCUUUGCUUGACCUUCACUUUGUAUCAGUCUCGGUCCUUUGAUUACAGACCCUAACAUUGGAGGGGGCAUCUGGGUUGAAACAACAAGAACUGAGCCAGCAUCGGAAUUUUUGGGAAAAGCCUCUGGAGGGAUCUGGACUGCCCACACUGGGAUGGAGAUGGAGGUGGAAACACAUCUUUACCAACCCAGGGACUUGUUUUGGAUACAUCACUAUCAAGUGGGGAACUUGGAGCCUUGCUGGAAGGGACCUUUUACUGUUAUCCUGACCACACCCACAGCGAUAAAAGUAGAAGGCAUCAGGGCCUGGAUUCACGAGGGUUACCUCAAAUGAGCCAAGGACAAAGACGCCCCCCAGAGGUGGAAGCCUCAGCCAAUGGACCCUGCUGACCAUUCACUAAAGCUAAGACUCAAAAGACUAUGAGUUUAUUAUAUUUUAUACAAUUGACUAUUUCCUGUUUUGAAACUCCCCCUUUGUUUUUCUUUUUGGCAUCUCAAAAGCCACUGUGUUUUUGUCCCCUUCCUCCCCAACUGUUACUUCUGUCUCCUUCACUAGAUUCUCUCUUAUUAUCUCCUAAAACUUGGUGUUGUUCAG